rnacentral:rRNA from 1 species
AUUGAACGCUGGCGGCAGGCUUAACACAUGCAAGUCGAGCGGAGAUGAGGUGCUUGCACCUUAUCUUAGCGGCGGACGGGUGAGUAAUGCUUAGGAAUCUGCCUAUUAGUGGGGGACAACAUUCCGAAAGGAAUGCUAAUACCGCAUACGUCCUACGGGAGAAAGCAGGGGAUCUUCGGACCUUGCGCUAAUAGAUGAGCCUAAGUCGGAUUAGCUAGUUGGUGGGGUAAAGGCCUACCAAGGCGACGAUCUGUAGCGGGUCUGAGAGGAUGAUCCGCCACACUGGGACUGAGACACGGCCCAGGGGCACACGGGAGGAUGCAGUGGGGAGUAUUGGACAAUGGGGGCACCCUGAUCCAGACAUGCCGCGUGUGUGAAGAAGGCCUUAUGGUUGUAAAGCACUUUAAGCGAGGAGGAGGCUACUGAGACUAAUACUCUUGGAUAGUGGACGUUACUCGCAGAAUAAGCACCGGCUAACUCUGUGCCAGCCGCCGCGGUAACAC